CUUCGUCGUUUACGUUGCCCUACCGUCCGUCUGGCCAGAACACGAUCGACUGGUCCCGCGGUGAUGUGAAAAACUGGGACACGUCCGUGUUAGUAACUAGAAGCGAGCGACUCGAACUCAUUCAGCUGGCUUCUAGCUAGUUUUGUGUGAGUUUUGCAGACUUGAUUCUUACGUUUACAGCAAGUGAAUGUGUCCAUCUGAAAACGGAAAUCAGUCGAUCACUUGUGGCUAUCAAGGAUGUUGGCAAAGGGCUACGUUAAUCCACGACUGCAUCUGAUUGUCAGCGAUGCGGAUGAGAUCGUCAUUUCGUUAAACCAGCACAGUGUUCUUGAGCUCAAAGUAAUCGGCGUUCCUGUUUAUCCGUUGCCCAAACUCACGGGGUCCGAUCUUAUCGAAUGAUUACCGAUCUUAUCGAUUGACUACAGAAACAGUCGAAAGACAAGUCGGUGCACUUAAAUGGAUCAAGGUGAUAUCUGAUUGUUCCGUCAAUUUCUGAAGCGUGUCACGAAGGAUAUUUACGCUAAGCUCAAGUGAUGGUUUGCUCUCAACUGAUAGUAUUGACAUAUACCCAUUUUCUGCUUUUUAUAACGACAUUAGGAAGGCGUAUGUGUUACCGUGUCAAAUGAAAUCGACUGUGAUUCAAGUGGCUUCGAUCAAUAACGGAUACUUUGUUCGAUUGCAGCAAAAUGUUGUCUAAUACGAGGCAGUCUUCUUCGAAUUUACUUACGAGCAUCGCACCGUUGACGGAUACGAGUUGUACGAAUUGCUCAAGGAUUGCCGGUGUUGUUUCAGUACUCUUUUUACGCCGCACGCGGAAAGAUGGUACACAGCGCUUGUGAUUUCUUGUCGGCUGUCUUUUACAUCACUGUAGCAUUUGGUAACGUAAUGUACAGAAACUACCGAAGAUGAAUUCCGCUUCAUCGAAAAGUUUAUCUGUCCAUUUAGUAUAUAUCUAUAUUGCUUUAAUGUUCUAAUAACAAAUCUGUUCAAUAUAAAUGCAGGCAAACGGAUACCAGCUCCGCUUUCAAAUACUAACAGAAAAUCUCUCGCGAAGUUCCGAUCCAACUCACUGACCUAACAAGCGCCUUGUAAAUUCUAAGCAUUGGUACUGGGCUUGGAUUCUUGACAUUUUUGGUUGAACAGAUUUAUUCAAACUACAAAAAGCACAGGCAUCGGUAGUUGGCGUUAAUUUAAAAAAAACAAUACUUCAGUUUGAUGGUAAACUUGCUUAGUGGGUGAUCCAUUAGUAAUUUUUUUUUACAUUUUGAAAGUAAGCUUGAAUGUAGGCGAGAAGUAGCGUUAGAUCGUAGUGAAGCUUAGUUUCGUUUCUUUAAAAUUUCGCUAUCUGCUGCAACGAAGUUAUAAUGAAUAUGC